rnacentral:rRNA from 1 species
UACGUAGGGCGCAAGCGUUGUUCGGAUUUACUGGGCGUAAAGGGCGCGUAGGCGGCAAUUCAAGUCAUCUGUGAAAUCUCCGGGCUUAACUCGGAACGGUCAGAUGAUACUGCUUUGCUAGAGUGCAGAAGGGGCAAUCGGAAUUCUCGGUGUAGCGGUGAAAUGCGUAGAUAUCGAGAGGAACACCAGAGGUGAAGACGGGUUGCUGGGCUGACACUGACGCUGAGGCGCGAAAGCCAGGGGAGCAAACGGG